CCCCCACCCACAUACACAUGAAAAGCUGCCAAAUGUGAUUAUGAGAUAGAAGGGAAGGGGGCAGGGUACAACCUUUAAAAGAAUAACAGAGACAUUGAGGCUAUGAUAUAAACUGGUUAGAACCAAUUAGGCCCAAGCUGGCAGAAAAAUCCACUUCCAGUGGACCUUGAGCCUCAUUAUAUGCUCAUUGUAACACGCCAGCAUAUACUAAGUGACACACCCACAGGUGCCAAGACAGACCAUAAAAGGCCAAAAGUGGGCAGUGGCCCAAUUUGCUGGAAGUGUCCACCCCUUCUCUAAAAUAGGAGCUAGGCAGAGUAGACCAUGCUUGUAUACUGAUUAGAUUGGAGAAGAGAGAAAUAGAAGGAAUGAUUCAUGAAGCAGGAUGUCUAAGAAGAUGGAAAAAAAUGGGAUGGAUGCAAGGUGCCUGUCUUUUGAGAAUUGCCUGGGAACUCCAGAGCAGUCAAUGCAGCCACUUUCUGGAACAUUAUAUAACCAAAAAAAAGGAUCCAGCUCUUACGCUUAACUCUACGUACCAUGCCGAUGAAGACUGUUUCAUUUUGAAUUGUAUAUUCAGCAUGUGGCUUGGUGCCUGGCACAAAGUAAGCUUUCAUUAAAUCUUUAUCAAAAUAGUG
rnacentral:lncRNA from 1 species